UUAGGAGAUUUUCGGCGAUA
rnacentral:misc_RNA from 1 species